rnacentral:rRNA from 1 species
UACGGGGGGGGCAAGCGUUGUUCGGAAUUACUGGGCGUAAAGGGUUUGUAGGUGGCCUGCUAAGUCAGACGUGAAAUCCCUCGGCUUAACCGGGGAACUGCAUCUGAUACUGGAUGGCUUGAGAUUGGGAGAGGGAUGCGGGAUUCCAGGUGUAGCGGUGAAAUGCGUAGAUAUCUGGAAGAACACCGGUGGCGUAGGCGGCUCUCUGGGCCAAUACUGACGCUGAGGCGCGAAAGCCAGGGGAGCAAACGGG